CGGUGUUGGUGAGAGUCCAGGCCCUGGCUCCCGCUUCCGCGUACGUGGAUGAGAGCGCAGCCUGGAGGGAAGGGAGUCACAGGCAGGCACCUGCGUGGCCCCUAGUGGCCUGGAGGGGCUUCUUGUGACCCCCACACCCCCGAGCGCGCCAGGCUCCCCCUUCCUCCACUCCAGGGCUGAGCAUGUUCAUUCUCAACGUUUACCCCGAAAAAGUAACUUAGGUUGUACGGGCCUGGAGCUAGAGAGAACUGAUUUGACGAGACCUGUCACAGCGAGGUCAUCGCACUUAUCCUCCAGGAACCUUCUCCCUGUAAGCGGCCACGACAACCCUGGGCCCUCUGGGGGACGCACUUUCUGAAGAGCUUGCCGCUGCCCAGAAGUUGACGCGCUCCCGUAGAGGCCCACCCACGCCGCACCUGUCUCCUGUGGGCCCACCUGUUCCCUCCCCCUGCUCCCCUCUCCCUCCCUCCCAGGCACCGGAAGGAGGGAGUGAGGAGGCGGGGUUCUAGGGGCAUCGGCGGUGGACAGGAUUGAGGCACUGAGAACAGGAGGAAUGCACAGGGUGCGUGUGCAGGACGUUAUGGCUGGGUAAUCGGAACCAGGCUGAAAAAAAAUACCUGUGUGGCCGCGAGGGUGUUGUGGUGGUGCAGCCUCCUCUCUCUGUGUUCCUCUGCUUUCUCCAUGAUCCCCCUGCUCUCCAGGGGUGAAAAUCAACCCAGUAAAUGUUAGUAUGGUUUGGGAGUAGGUUAGAAUUCAGUUUUGUAAGGGUCAGAAUAGGGGCAGAAUCCCAUAAAAAAAAAAGAAAAGAAAAGAAAAGAAAAGAAAAAAGAAAAGAAGGAAGGAAGGAAAGGAAGGAAAGGAAAGAAAGAAAGGAAGAAAGAAAGAAGAAAGGAAGAAAGAAAGAAAGAAAGAGUAAAAUUUCUGGGUACCAGGAGCAAAAUCUCACAAUUUCAAUUCUAGGAACACUCACUAAGCUUUAUUUAUUUAUUUAUUUAUUUAUUUAUUUAUUUAUUUAUUUAUUUAUUUAUUUAUUUAUUUAUACAUAAGUCAUAGUGCUAGGUAGAAGCAAAGAAAAUAAUCUUUAUUUUAAAUACACUUGAGUGCCUGGAACUGGAAAUCUAUCUAAAUGUGGGCUUCAUACGUCUGGAGGCAGGUAGAAUGCACCUCAUUUUUACAAAUAUGUAAUCUGAGAUUAAGAAGAAUAAAGCUAAUAAAUAGCUUGAUGAGAGUUUGAAUCAUAGCUGCCCAAUUCCAAAGCCUGUAUUUUUGCCACUAGGUGAAUCUGCUCAUUGAGCACGAUGUCUCCUCGUUUUUUGUUUGUUUGUUUGUUUGUUUUUUUCCAAAGCAUCUGUUUGGUUCAAAGGUAGGCUUCCUGAAGAAGAUAGGAAUGGGGGCCUUCACGUGCUUUGCUGGCACAGGGCCCACUGUUCCUCCUAUGACUGUUCAGCAUUGCUAAUACUUCCCGUACUAGAGCUGAGUGCUAGGUGUGCUGUGAAACAUCACAUGCAUCCUCUCGUGGAAUCUUGUAAUCACUCUAUGAAACCAGUGCUGUUAUAUUACCCUGUUUAACAAAUGAGAAAAGCCAAAGCAAAUAAUUUGUCACACAGUCACCUUGCUAGUGAAGGACAGAUUCCAGAAGCUGUGACUGCAACCUACAUGCUCUCAUGGGUAGGGACCUAGAUGGUGGGUGGUACUCUUUACUAGUUCACGCUUUUUAAAAAGUGGGUUCUAGGGGAUGGUACCUAGAGAAUGAAGUGAAUGAACGUGGCAAAUACGCGUCUGGAAACAAAGUUGCCCCAUCAUCAGGCUUGAUGCAGCUAAGAGUCUUUUUCACUUUCUCAUUUGAUUCUGUUCUUACCACUAAAUUUGUUAGAUUGUCAGAUCUGGACAUAGCUAUAGAAAUCCCAUAAUCUCUAUCCUCAUUAUCAUUGAUGAGAAAAUUGACAACCAGAGAAGGGAGAUGACUGGCCCAAGGCUGUGCAGCCCCAGCUAGGAGAAUGCACACAAUAGCUUAACCCUGAGUCCCAAAUUCUUCCCACUACAGUCACCUCUCCUCUAUUUUAAUAUUUUAAACUGUUCUCCCAGCCCUCCCCCUAGUAUUUUCUCAAGCCCUCUCUUUAGCCUUCUCCGUUUCCAAUAGGUCCAGUUCCAAACACCUCCUCCUCUCUCUUCCCUAGCUGUCCUACUGUAGAAACGAAUUUCCAUGGUGAUUUGAUCAUCACAUCUAACAGCCACUUCUCAGCCUCAUCCUCCUUGUCCUCUCUGUACUACAUGAUGCCAUCCCGUCAGCUAUCCUUCUCCCUCCCUCCCCUGGCCCCGCCACCUUUCCGGGCACUUCCCUAUCCUGCGUUCCUUUUUCUGGCUGCUACUUUUCAUGAUCCCCACUCCUCAGUCUUCUUCCCUACCUGCUACACUUCAGUGAGCCUCCCCACAGGAGUCUGCCUUUUCCUCUUUCUCCAUUUCCCUCGGGGUGCCUUCUUGUCCCUUCUCUAUGAAGCCUUUUCUGACCACUCCCAAGAGAACUGAGUCCUCCUUUCCUGUCCUGUGUACAGAUUUCUGUCUUAGAGCUCACAACACUCUAUACUGCUUCCCGGUUUAGAAAUAUGUGCCCCCCACCUCUGCCCUCCACAGAAGCUCCUCAAGGGAAGAGGAUCCUGUUUGUUGGACUCCGUAUCCAGGCACUUAACAGGCCCUUAAGGAAGGUUUAUUGAAUGCAUGAAUGGCUCUUUAAAAUCUUGAGCUUCUCUAUCCUUGCUGAGAUCCAGUCUUUAAUUCCCUCCUGGAUGCCUUGAUGGACUCUGACCGCGAUAUAACUGAAACUAUACUCACCCCCUUCUCCAUCAUUUCAGUAUGCUACUUGACUUCCUGCUGUGAUGGAAGCAGUUAUCAGUGUACCAGAAUCACCUGGGCCACUGUAAAAAGUACAGAUGCCUGGGUCCCACCCACAGAGAUUGCGUUUUUAACGAACCUGGAAUACAGCAAAGGCAUCAAAAUUGUUUAAAGGUCCCAGAUUAGGCAAUGAUACUGUGAAUGAAAAAUACUGCGAACCAUAUCAGUAAACAAAAGAUGCUGAAGCCAUCAGGUCAUCAGUGGCUGUCACUGACCCCCAUUGAAGACAAGCCUGCAGCCCGGCCUCUGCAGCCACCCACAGAGGUGCACCCUGAGGGGACUCAGAAUAAAGAAGGACAGGAUACCGGACCUAGAUAGCUAGGUACUUGUCAAAGGAAUGAAUUCAAUGAGCCCAAACGUUUGCUCCCUCUCAUACAUAGAAGGGUGCUAAAUUCUUUAAUGAGAGAUUCCUGGUUUUCUUCACUUAACAAGUGAUCUUUUAAUGUUCCGACUACCUGGUCUUUGUUGUAAAACUCCUAUAUAUCCUGAGUCCUCCCCUACCUCUUCUGAACAGUCCUGCAGAGCAAUCUGGGAGGCUGUCAUCUUGGGCUUGAAGGGGUUUGAGUCCUCAGCAAUGUCUGCCGAAUAAAAUGUAAUUCUCAA